AGGGCUGAUGGGCAGAGCAGGGGGACCGUUCUUAAGGCUACAACCAGGAGAGAGCUGGCAGUGCCGGGGCCAGGUGGGGCGAUAGAGGGCUGGAGGGGCAGAUUCCGAAGGGGUCCACCGUCAUUCACUAGUGGCUGACAGGGGGUUGUGGAGACAGGCAGCAAAGUGGGGACUUUCCGGGAGGCAUCUCACAGGAAGACGUCCACACGUGAGGAACAGAGACCACUGCCUUGGCUUGGAGCUGCAGGAGGCAGGCUAAGCCCACACGGAUGCCGAGGCCUGAGGCUGGAUCCUCAGCCUGGAUGCUGCCUCCACCCCAGCUUGCCGAGGACCCCCCACCAUCCCCAGCAGCCUGGCCUCAGUUUCUAAACAGGGUGAAGGGCCAGCGAUGGUUCCUCUGAGGCCCUCGGCUGUCCCUGCUGUCUAUGCGCCUCCUGCUCUCAGGCCUGGGAGGUGUGAUUUACUCUCCUGACCUCCAGGCAGCCCGGCUCCUGCUGGUAAAUGCACUGAAAAGUCCAUCUUUUCCACCUCCAGCCCUGCUGGGAGUGCCCAGGUGCCAUCACCUGGGAACAGCUGAUGACGCGAGCUAAGAAGUUCAGAGUUGCUUUUGCUUUACAAGGCGCAUAGGAACACACUGUACUAAGAACGUGCCAGAAGCCUCAAGAUCACUAAAGAUCCCCAUUUACCAGACCGGAAACAAAGGAGCAGGGGAAGGAAGCGCACACGUGGGGCUUCGUGGGCUGGAACUGCAUGACCUCGGCAAGUCACUUCCCUCCCAGAGCCACUCUUUCCCAGGUUAGCUGGAGACAGCCACAACCUACAGGCAGGCGUGGUCGGAAUUAAAGACAGCAGGCACCAAAUGCGUGGUGAAUGGGAGACAUUAUAGUAACUGUUUUAUUAAUCUUAGAUUAAACUAUUUCUUGCAACUUUGAAAAGAAACCAAAAUCUUAUUUUAGCUUGCAAAGGUCCUAAUACCUUAAAAUUUUUUGAAAUCUUUAAAGCCUUACCAAAACCUUUGCAGGGCCUGCAAGGAGUGGCAGGAUCUGGCCCUGCUCACUUCCCCCAUCUCAGCUCCUUCCUCUCACCCUUGCCCUCUGUGCUCCAACCUUGCUGACCUCUUAGCUCUCUAAACAAGAAAACUUGUGCUGACCUCAGGGCCUUUGCACAUGCUGUUCCUGCUGCUGGAAACACUGUUCCCAGGCUCUCGGUACCGACAGGAUCCCUUCAGGACUUGGUGUAAAUGCUACUUCCUCAGCAAGGCCUUCCACACUGCUUCACCUCAGUUUAGUCUGUCUCCUCUCUUUUCUCCUCCUGGCACCUAGGACAAUCUCUCAUUGGUCUGAGAACUCCACAACUCCAUCUGUCCGUCUCUCUUUUCACCACUAGAGCCUGGCCUGGUGCCUGGCACACAGUAUAGAUUAUGGAAUAAACAAAUAAGCCUGUGACAUGGGCUGGCACCACUGGCAUACACACACACACUCUCAUAUACACCCUCACACAGUUGGCACAGCACAGAACAGAGUAACAUCAAAUCCUGACUGCCUGGGUUCAAAUCUCACCUUUCCCCUAAACAGCAUUUGAUUCCUGGUUGGCUCCUUGAGAAACAGGUCCAGAGGUGCUGAACUCCCCAGGGAAGAGUGAGGGCUCCCGGCAGGCUCCUGGGGAGCAAAGCCCGGCUCCCUGCUCACAUGUGGUAUGGCCUUGGGCGGGGCACUUCCCCUCUCUGUGCCCUGUAACAUGGGGAUAAUUCUAGUACCCAGAACCCCCAAAAAGUGGGGAGGGUGAAUCAAGAUAAAAUGUGCAAACUGUUCAGACAAGAGGCCAGGCAGGUGAGUGCUGUUGAAGUGGGGGCUGCUGCAAUGACUGACAAGGCGAAACUGACGCGCUCUGCAUGCCACUUCCGGGAUCCCAGUGGAAUUUAAAAUACAAGCUUCCCCUAGCUCUCCAAUGCUGGGUUUGUCUAAUUUCGUGCUUCAAAACUUUGGCACAGAUUGUGCCUGUGUUUGUCUGUGUGUACCCCAGUGUCUAUGUGGGUCUGUGGGUGUGAGCCCCCAUGUCUGUGUGUGCCUGUGGGUGUGAGCCCCCGUGUCUGUGCCUGUGGGUGUGAGCCCCCGUGUCUGUGCCUGUGGGUGUGAGUCCCCGUGUCUGUGCCUGUGGGUGUGAGUCCUGUGUCUGUGUGUGCCUGUGGGUGUGAGCCCUGUGUCUGUGUGUGCCUAUGGGUGUGAGCACCAUGUCCAUGUGAGCCUGGGCAGCUGCUCCACAGGAAGGGACCAAGACAAUGGUUUAAGCUACACCACAGAUGACACCUCUCCAGCAGGAAGCCUGGGGUCGAACCUGCCCCUGGGAGACCCCCUCCCUUCCCUGAAACACCUGAAUUUCUUCUAAGUACCCCCCUACCCCAUGUCAUCUUGCGCUAUUACUGCUGCUGCUGACACUAAUACCUACUUAAGUGGGCUGGUACGAGAAAAAGAGAAAAGAAACCCACACAGGUUAUGCCUGCAGCAGCAGCGAGAAUCAAGUGAAAUUGCCCAGUGCAUGCCCAGUCCCCAAAUCCCACACACAAGAUCGGAUUUUCUUCCCUUUCCCUCCCCUGCCUCUCACAACUCUCGGGUGUGACUAAAUGUGGAAAAUAUUAGUGUUCC
rnacentral:lncRNA from 1 species